rnacentral:rRNA from 1 species
AAUCAACGCUGGCGGCGUGCCUAACACAUGCAAGUCGAACGCGAAAGCCCGCAAGGGUGAGUAGAGUGGCGCACGGGUGAGUAACACGUGGACAACCUGCCUUCGAGUGGGGAAUAACCUUCCGAAAGGAGGGCUAAUACCGCAUAACACCUCGGGACACAAGUUCUGGGGUUGAAAAGAGCAAUUUGCUCGAAGAGGGGUCCGCGCCUGAUUAGCUAGUUGGUGAGGUAACGGCUCACCAAGGCUUCGAUCAGUAGCCGUCCUGAGAGGGAGCACGGCCACACUGGAACUGAGACACGGUCCAGACUCCUACGGGAGGCAGCAGUGGGGAAUUUUGGCAAUGGGCGAAAGCCUGACCAAGCAACGCCGCGUGGGUGAUGAAGUAUCUUGGUACGUAAAACCCUUUCGGCAGGGACGAACCUAAUGACGGUACCUGCGGAAGAAGCCCCGGCUAACUCCGUGCCAGCAGCCGCCGU